GGUAGUGGGGGAAAAGUUCGGAAAGGACGCUAAUACCGCAAACUCCUACGGGAGAAAGCAGGGGAACCUUCGGGCCUUGCGCUAUAAAUACCAGGUCGGAUUAGCUAGUUGGUGGGGUAAUGGCUCACCAAGGCGAGAUCCGUAACUGGUCUGAGAGGAUAUCAGUCACACUGGAACUGAGACCGGUCCAGACUCCUACGGGAGGCAGCAGUGGGGAAUAUUGGACAAUGGGCGAAAGCCUGAUCCAGCCAUGCCGCGUGUGUGAAGAAGGUCUUCGGAUUGUAAAGCACUUUAAGUUGGGA
rnacentral:rRNA from 1 species